AAAUAAAUCAGUAAUCUCCGAGCUCAAGAAGUACUCCUACACAUAAAUGUGGGCAUCUGGGCUGAAUAAAAAUAUGGACGGAGUUGGUGUCAACUGUCAACCGUAACGUCAGGCGUGGUUGCGCACAGGAACGGAACAACGGGAUUACGUAAGCCAAAACGUCCGAGGUAAGUAUGAAUUGUUUCAAAAUUCAAAGAGUCUAAUCUUUAUUGUCGCAAGACAAAACGUCGGCAAGAUAGUGAAAGAUUAAUUCCUGAUUAAUACAUAAACGCUGAUUAACAUCGAUCCUCUCCACCUCUCAUUUGACUAAUUGCGUAACAAUGCAAUAUAAUAUCCAUACUGUACAUACACACUGUCUCACUCAAGUAUCUACGCUGUCUUCCAAGCUUGAUUUUUCGAAGCUUUGCUGCUGCUAGUGGAUGGUCGGACCACUAGCAUGUUUCUUUAUUUUGUUUUCAUAUGUAAAUAUAAUUUAUACAUCAUAUAUCACGUUUGUGUCAUGUUCACCAGGUCAUCGCAUCAUUUUGAUUUUCCAUUCGAUCCCGCAAAUUCUAUAUAUGUACAGGGGACCUGUAACUGUAAGUAAUUUACAGUUUUAUUUUACUUGUUACCGUUUUCAAUAUCAGUUAAACCCCUCUUACAUUUAGGGUUCGUUAAACGGAAAGAUAAAUAGUUGGUGUUGUUUUGAGUUAUUUUGAGUUAUAAUACAAAAAAAUAAUGUUUUUGAUGAGAUUUGACGGUGAAAUUUGUAGCAGCUCUUGCAAAAGCUGAAAGUCAGUUUUUUCCAAAAGUAUAAGAAGACUUGUUUUUUCUAAAAUUAACUUUUCAGCUAAAAAUUGUUGUUCAAAAAAACUGUUUUUUAUUUAUCAAACAGUUUUUCAUAUGUUUUUCAGAAAAAACUGUNACUGGAGAUGGCCUAAGAAUCACUUAUUUUAAGUUCAAUCAAACGGCUCCACAAACCGAGUUGUCAAUAAAAAGCGCACUAAAAAUAGUUAAACUUCGUUAUUUUGAGUAAAAAUAAAUCAGUAAUCUCCGAGCUCAAGAAGUACUCCUACACAUAAAUGUGGGCAUCUGGGCUGAAUAAAAAUAUGGACGGAGUUGGUGUCAACUGUCAACCGUAACGUCAGGCGUGGUUGCGCACAGGAACGGAACAACGGGAUUACGUAAGCCAAAACGUCCGAGGUAAGUAUGAAUUGUUUCAAAAUUCAAAGAGUCUAAUCUUUAUUGUCGCAAGACAAAACGUCGGCAAGAUAGUGAAAGAUUAAUUCCUGAUUAAUACAUAAACGCUGAUUAACAUCGAUCCUCUCCACCUCUCAUUUGACUAAUUGCGUAACAAUGCAAUAUAAUAUCCAUACUGUACAUACACACUGUCUCACUCAAGUAUCUACGCUGUCUUCCAAGCUUGAUUUUUCGAAGCUUUGCUGCUGCUAGUGGAUGGUCGGACCACUAGCAUGUUUCUUUAUUUUGUUUUCAUAUGUAAAUAUAAUUUAUACAUCAUAUAUCACGUUUGUGUCAUGUUCACCAGGUCAUCGCAUCAUUUUGAUUUUCCAUUCGAUCC
rnacentral:lncRNA from 1 species